rnacentral:rRNA from 1 species
UGGGGAAUAUUGGACAAAUGGGCGAAAGCCUGAUCCAGCCAUGCCGCGUGUGUGAAGAAGGUCUUCGGAUUGUAAAGCACUUUAAGUUGGGAGGAAGGGCAGUAAGCUAAUACCUUGCUGUUUUGACGUUACCGACAGAAUAAGCACCGGCUAACUCUGUGUCAG